rnacentral:snRNA from 1 species
AGCUUUGCGCAGUGGCAGUAUCGUAGCCAAUGAGGUUUAUCUGAGGCGCGAUUAUUGCUAAUUGAAAGAAAAAAAGAAAAGAAAAGAGGGAGAUGACUGGCGGUGGCCAUCGCCCUGCCCACUGGUCACCCCACAGAUGGG